AUUGAACGCUGGCGGCAGGCCUAACACAUGCAAGUCGGACGGUAGCACAGAGGAGCUUGCUCCUCGGUGACGAGUGGCGGACGGGUGAGUAAUGUCUGGGGAUCUGCCCGAUAGAGGGGGAUAACCACUGGAAACGGUGGCUAAUACCGCAUAACGUCGCAAGACCAAAGAGGGGGACCUUCGGGCCUCUCACUAUCGGGUGAACCCAGAUGGGAUUAGCUAGUAGGCGGGGUAACGGCCCACCUAGGCGACGAUCCCUAGCUGGUCUGAGAGGAUGCCCAGCCCCACGGGAAGUGAGACACGGGCAAGCCUCCUAGGGGGGGCAGAAGUGGGGAAUAUUGCAAAAUGGGCGCAAGCCUGAUGCAGCCAUGCCGGGUGUAUGAAGAAGGCCUUCGGGUUGUAAAGUACUUUCGGCGGGGAGGAAGGCGAUGUGGUUAAUAACCGCAUUGAUUGACGUUACCCGCAGAAGAAGCACGGGCUAACUCCGUGCCAGCCGCCGCCGUAA
rnacentral:rRNA from 1 species